rnacentral:rRNA from 1 species
GACGAACGCUGGCGGCGUGCCUAAUACAUGCAAGUCGAACGCUGAAGGAGGAGCUUGCUUCUCUGGAUGAGUUGCGAACGGGUGAGUAACGCGUAGGUAACCUGCCUGGUAGCGGGGGAUAACUAUUGGAAACGAUAGCUAAUACCGCAUAAGAGUAGAUGUUGCAUGACAUUUGCUUAAAAGGUGCAAUUGCAUCACUACCAGAUGGACCUGCGUUGUAUUAGCUAGUUGGUGGGGUAACGGCUCACCAAGGCGACGAUACAUAGCCGACCUGAGAGGGUGAUCGGCCACACUGGGACUGAGACACGGCCCAGACGCCUACGGGAGGCAGCAGUAGGGAAUCUUCGGCAAUGGACGGAAGUCUGACCGAGCAACGCCGCGUGAGUGAAGAAGGUUUUCGGAUCGUAAAGCUCGGUUGUAAGAGAAGAACGAGUGUGAGAGUGGAAAGUUCACACUGUGACGGUAGCUUACCAGAAAGGGACGGCUAACUACGUG